rnacentral:rRNA from 1 species
CAGUAGCCGCGGUAGUACGAAGGGGGCUAGCGUUGCUCGGAAUCACUGGGCGUAAAGGGUGCGUAGGCGGGUCUUUAAGUCAGGGGUGAAAUCCUGGAGCUCAACUCCAGAACUGCCUUUGAUACUGAAGAUCUUGAGUUCGGGAGAGGUGAGUGGAACUGCGAGUGUAGAGGUGAAAUUCGUAGAUAUUCGCAAGAACACCAGUGGCGAAGGCGGCUCACUGGCCCGAUACUGACGCUGAGGCACGAAAGCGUGGGGAGCAAACAGGAUUAGAUACCCCCGUAGUCCCUGUCUCUUAUAC